GUGGAGCAUGUGGAAUUUUUUAGGGGAUGGUUACGAUUCUGGUUAGGGGGAACCCAAGUGGAGUAAGAGAGUUCUCUUCAUAAGGUGAGCUUAUAUAGAGAAUGGGCAUUGGUGGGUUGGACCUCGUCCAUGCGAUCACGAUCCAACAACAACGAACGGAGGGAGGGGCUAGGUUAGUCUAGUGGGCUGUGUAGAUGGGCUAUGUGGGGAUGAGAGGGAAGUGGUGUGGCACGUGAUAAAGUUUUAAAACGAGAACACGUCCUGGAAUUAAACCAACUACAGUGCCGCUAUAUAUUCAACGGUUCGGGUAUCAACCGAACUCCAAUUGCGACAAAAUUUGGCACGCAGCCUACCUACAAUAUAAUAAGAC
rnacentral:lncRNA from 1 species